rnacentral:tRNA from 1 species
UGGGCUAUAGUGUAAUUGGCAGCACGCAAGUUUCUGGUUCUUGUAGUUUAGGUUCGAAUCCUGGUAGCCCAG